rnacentral:ribozyme from 1 species
UUAUUUUCCUUCCUUUUUUUCUUCCUUUCUUCUUUUUCAUUUUUCAUUUGUUUCUUUUCUUCAAUUAUGAUUGAUGAAGAAGAUGGUGAAGAAGAAGAAGAUGAAGAUGAAGAAUCAA